rnacentral:rRNA from 1 species
CCUANGGGGGGCUGCAGUCGAGGAUCUUCUGCAAUGGGCGCAAGCCUGACAGAGCGACGCCGCGUGGAGGAUGAAGGCCUUCGGGUUGUAAACUCCUGUCAUUGGGGAACAAAGCUUCCGGUUAACUGCCAAAAAGCCUGAUAGUACCCGAAGAGGAAGAGACGGCUAACUCUGUGCCAGCAGCCGCGGUAAUACAGAGGUCUCAAGCGUUGUUCGGAUUCAUUGGGCGUAAAGGGUGCGUAGGCGGCGGAGUAAGUCGGAUGUGAAAUCCCGGGGCUCAACCCCGGAACUGCACUCGAUACUGCUCUGCUUGAGUACUGGAGAGGAGACUGGAAUUUACGGUGUAGCAGUGAAAUGCGUAGAUAUCGUAAGGAAGACCAGUGGCGAAGGCGAGUCUCUGGACAGUUACUGACGCUGAGGCACGAAGGCCAGGGGAGCAAACGGGAUUAGAUACCCCGNUANUC